CUUAGGUGUGUUUUUGAGCUUAGCCUUAAGCACCAAAAGACUGAUUCAUGCUCUCCUCCUUCAUUCUACUUCGUCAUUCUCUCUGUGAUGUCACUUCAAAAUUGAAGGGCCGCCGUUCAUGCUCUUCAAACUUUUUGUUUAUUUAAGUGUCCUCCUUCAACUCUCAAAGCUUUUGGUUGCAACCAAGUGGUCUAAUUUUUAAGUCUCACAGUUUAGAUUUUAAGGCUUAAUUAAAGCUUCUACUUAUACCAGGUCGUGCGAUAAAGAAGGAGAAAGAUUGCACUCUACUUGAUUUGAAUGGGACAACUUCAGUUGCUGCUAAGUCAUGCUAAUUGCUACGAACGAAUCAUCAUGGUCUUUGCUAAUUCAUUUGAGGUAACUUAAGUAAAGAACCCGCCCCCUCCCCCCAAUAGGGAAGAAGAUGAUAGUUGUGGCAUUGUGGGUAGUAAUUUCGUAAUUUGGG
rnacentral:lncRNA from 1 species